rnacentral:rRNA from 1 species
AUACGGAGGAUCCGAGCGUUAUCCGGAUUUAUUGGGUUUAAAGGGUGCGCAGGCGGGAGUUUAAGUCGGCGGUGAAAUUUUGCAGCUCAACUGUAAAAGUGCCUUCGAAACUGGUUUCCUUGAGUGUAGAUGAAGUAGGCGGGAUUUGUGGUGUAGCGGUGAAAUGCAUAGAUAUCACGAGGAACUCCGAUUGCGCAGGCAGCUUACUAAACUACUACUGACGCUCAGGCACGAAGGCGUGGGGAUCAAACAGGAUUAGAUACCCUGGUAGUCCACGCAGUAAACGAUGAUUACUAGCUGUUUGCGAUACAAUGUAAGCGGCUGAGCGAAAGCGUUAAGUAAUCCACCUGGGGAGUACGUUCGCAAGAAUGAAACUCAAAUGAAUUGACGGGG